GACUUAAAAGCCAAUCCCUUCCUUCCUAUUUUAUAACAGGUCUUGUUAGAUUCAACAACAACCUUUCAGUUUUCCGAUGUGCCCUUCUGGAGGCUUUUAUUAAAGUCGGGGUUUCAUUGUUUCCACUGCUGCGGCAAUAGUGCCGUUCGUUCGACCGUAAGUCAAGUCGAAGAACUGCGCCAAGCCGUACUACCGCCGCGUCUACUUCCGUAAGAAGCUGAGGUGACCGCGGAGGCCGUCCUCGUCUCGUAGAGGCCGUUAGAG
rnacentral:rRNA from 1 species